rnacentral:sRNA from 1 species
AUUCUGCCCAUGCGGGGAAGGAUGAGAAGCUUCGACUAAGGUUCGACUCGAGCGUCAGCGAGAGAGCGUUGCCGCAGGCAACGACCCGAAGGGCGAAGCGCGCAGCGCUGAGUAAUCCUUCCCCCACCACCA